AGAGUUUGAUCUGGCUCAGGAUGAACGCUAGCUACAGGCUUAACACAUGCAAGUCGAGGGGUAGCAGGGUAGCAAUACCGCUGACGACCGGCGCACGGGUGAGUAACACGUAUCCAACCUUCCCAUAACUCAGGGAUAGCCUUUCGAAAGAAAGAUUAAUACCUGAUAGUACUUUUUCAAGGCAUCUUGAAAAAGUUAAAGAUUUAUUGGUUAUGGAUGGGGAUGCGUUCCAUUAGAUAGUUGGUGAGGUAACGGCUCACCAAGUCUUCGAUGGAUAGGGGUUCUGAGAGGAAGGUCCCCCACAUUGGUACUGAGACACGGACCAAACUCCUACGGGAGGCAGCAGUGAGGAAUAUUGGUCAAUGGGCGAGAGCCUGAACCAGCCAAGUAGCGUGAAGGAAUGAAGGUCCUAUGGAUUGUAAACUUCUUUUAUAGUAGAAUAAAGUGAGCCACGUGUGGUUUUUUGUAUGUAUACUAUGAAUAAGGAUCGGCUAACUCCGUGCCAGCAGCGGC
rnacentral:rRNA from 1 species